GGUGUGCACCCUAAAGCACAAGCACACGCCGUAUAUAUAUAUAUAUAUAUGUAUCUAUGUAUAUAGAUACAUAUAUAUAUAUAUAUAUAUACGGCGUGUGCUUGUGCUUUAGGGUGCUGUGU
rnacentral:miRNA from 1 species